UGCGGGAUGGUGUAGUGGUAGCACGCAUGACUCUGGAUCAUGUCGCCUAGGUUCGAGCCCUAGUCCCGCAGCCA
rnacentral:tRNA from 1 species